GACGAACGCUGGCGGCGUGCUUAACACAUGCCAGUCGAACGGAAAGGCCCUGCUUUUGUGGGGUGCUCGAGUGGCGAACGGGUGAGUAACACGUGAGUAACCUGCCCUUGACUUUGGGAUAACUUCAGGAAACUGGGGCUAAUACCGGAUAGGAGCUCCUGCUGCAUGGUGGGGGUUGGAAAGUUUCGGCGGUUGGGGAUGGACUCGCGGCUUAUCAGCUUGUUGGUGGGGUAGUGGCUUACCAAGGCUUUGACGGGUAGCCGGCCUGAGAGGGUGACCGGCCACAUUGGGACUGAGAUACGGCCCAGACUCCUACGGGAGGCAGCAGUGGGGAAUAUUGCACAGUGGGCGGAAGCCUGAUGCAGCAACGCCGCGUGCGGGACGACGGCCUUCGGGUUGUAAACCGCUUUCGCCUGUGACGAAGCGUGAGUGACGGUAAUGGGUAAAGAAGCACCGGCUAACUACGUG
rnacentral:rRNA from 1 species